CCUACGGGUGGCAGCAGUGAGGAAUAUUGGUCAAUGGGCGCGAGCCUGAACCAGCCAAGUAGCGUGAAGGAUGACUGCCCUACGGGUUGUAAACCUCUUUUAUAAGGGAAUAAAGUGAGGCACGCGUGCCUUUUUGUAUGUACUUUAUGAAUAAGCAUCGGCUAACUCCGUGCCAGCAGCCGCGGUAAUACGGAGGAUCCGAGCGUUAUCCGGAUUUAUUGGGUUUAAAGGGUGCGGAGACGGGUUGUUAAGUCAGGUGUGAAAGUCCGGGGCUCAACCGUAAAAUUGCAGUUGAUACUGGCAGUCUUGAGUAGAGUAGAGGUAGGCGGAAUUCGUGGUGUAGCGGUGAAAUGCUUAGAUAUCGCGAAGAACUCCGAUUGCGAAGGCAGCUUGCUAGACUGCCACUGACGUUGAGGCUCGAAAGUGUGGGUAUCAAACAGGAUUAGAUACCCUAGUAGUC
rnacentral:rRNA from 1 species